GUUAGUACCCUACACCCUACACCUUGGUGGCAGCCUGUGUUCUAGUACUCAGGUUAGUACCCUACACCCUACACCUUGGUGGCAGCCUGUGUUCUAGUACUCAGGUUAGUACCCUACACCCUACACCUUGGUGGCAGCCUGUGUUCUAGUACUCAGGUUAGUACCCUACAUACUACACCCUACUAGCCUACACCUUGGUGGCAGCCUGUGUUCUAGUACUCAGGUAAGUACCCUACAUACUACACCCUACACCCUACUAGCCUACACCUUGGUGGCAGCCUGUGUUCUAGUACUCAGGUUAGUACCCUACAUACUAC
rnacentral:lncRNA from 1 species